rnacentral:rRNA from 1 species
UACAGAGGUCCCAAGCGUUGUUCGGAUUCAUUGGGCGUAAAGGGUGCGUAGGCGGCGCGGUAAGUCGGGUGUGAAAUCUCGGAGCUUAACUCCGAACUGCAUUCGAUACUGCCGUGCUUGAGGACUGGAGAGGAGACUGAAUUUACGGUGUAGCGGUGAAAUGCGUAGAUAUCGUAAGGAAGACCAGUGGCGAAGGCGGGUCUCUGGACAGUUCCUGACGCUGAGGCACGAAGGCCAGGGGGGAGCAAAACGGGG